rnacentral:rRNA from 1 species
GAUGAACGCUGGCGGCGUGCCUAAUACAUGCAAGUCGAGCGAACAGAUAAGGAGCUUGCUCCUUUGACGUUAGCGGCGGACGGGUGAGUAACACGUGGGUAACCUACCUAUAAGACUGGAAUAACUCCGGGAAACCGGGGCUAAUGCCGGAUAAUAUUUAGAACCGCAUGGUUCUAAAGUGAAAGAUGGUUUUACUAUCACUUAUAGAUGGACCCGCGCCGUAUUAGCUAGUUGGUGGGGUAAUGGCUUACCAAGGCAACGAUACGUAGCCGACCUGAGAGGGUGAUCGGCCACACUGGAACUGAGACACGGUCCAGACUACUACGGGAGGCAGCAGUAGGGAGUCUUCCGCAAUGGGCGAAAGCCUGACGGAGCAACGCCGCGUGGGUGAUGAAGGUCUUCGGAUCGUAAAACUCUGUUAUUAGGGAAGAACAAAUGUGUAAGUAACUGUGCACGUCUUGACGGUACCUAAUCAGAAAGCCACGGCUAACUACGUGCCAGCCGCCGCCGUAA